UACGGGGGGGGCAAGCGUUGUUCGGAAUUACUGGGCGUAAAGGGCGCGUAGGCGGCUUGGCAAGUGGAUGGUGAAAUCCCUCGGCUUAACCGAGGAACUGCCGUCCAAACUGCUUGGCUUGAGACCAGGAGAGGUGAGUGGAAUUCCCAGUGUAGCGGUGAAAUGCGUAGAUAUUGGGAGGAACACCAGUGGCGAAGGCGGCUCACUGGACUGGUACUGACGCUGAGGCGCGAAAGCGUGGGGAGCAAACGGG
rnacentral:rRNA from 1 species